rnacentral:rRNA from 1 species
GUAGACCUCAAGCGUUAUCCGGAUUUAUUGGGCGUAAAGCGUGUGUAGGAGGUUUUGUGCGUCUUCUGUUAAAUACCACCGCCUAACGGUGGACCUGCAGAGGAUACGACAAGACUAGAGGGGGUUAGAGGUGCAUGGAACUCACGGUGUAGGGGUGAAAUCCGUUGAUAUCGUGGGGAACACCAAAGGCGAAGGCAGUGCACUGGGACCUUCCUGACUCUGAGACACGAAAGCGUGGGGAGCAAAAAGGAUUAGAUACCCUUGUAGUCCACGCCCUAAACGAUGCUGAUUUGGUGUUUCGAGUAUCGACCCUCGGAGUGCCGGAGCUAACGCGUUAAAUCAGCCGCCUGGGAAGUACGAUCGCAAGGUUA